UACGGAGGGUGCAAGCGUUAUCCGGAUUUACUGGGUUUAAAGGGUGCGUAGGUGGGUCUGUAAGUCAGUGGUGAAAUCUCCGAGCUUAACUCGGAAACUGCCAUUGAUACUAUAGGUCUUGAAUUAUCUGGAGGUAAGCGGAAUAUGUCAUGUAGCGGUGAAAUGCUUAGAUAUGACAUAGAACACCAAUUGCGAAGGCAGCUUACUACGGAUUGAUUGACACUGAGGCACGAAAGCGUGGGGGAUCAAAACAGG
rnacentral:rRNA from 1 species